GUGCUGUGGCUCAGUGGAAGAACCUCUGCUCUGCAUGUAGAAGGUCCUAGGUUCAAUCCCUGGCACCAGGAUCG
rnacentral:tRNA from 1 species